CGUCCGCCCGUACCCGCCCGAAAUCUCUGCUUCCCUUCCGUUCCUAACCCGGACGCCCCCCGCGGGGGAGGCUCCGGUGAUGGCGGCUCCGAGGGCUGGCGAGAGGCGACGUCCCUCUCCUUCGCGACGCUCCUCCCCCACGACGCCGCCUCCCCCUCGCGCCCCAGGACGCCGGCGCCCCCAUCGACUCCGCCCGCAGAUCGACGGGUGCUGCGGAUGCCGCCUCGCCGCCUAUCCUCGCCCUCCCCAUCUCCCGCCGGCCUCCCUCUCCAUUCGCUCGAUCCACCACAAGAUGGCGAGGGCGCGCCGCAGACUCCCCACGGGCGUGACGCCCGACGCCGCGGCGGCCGCCCUCCCUGCCGCGGAUCCCCCAUGCUCCGUGGAUCUGCACCAUCGCCACUCCCGGUCUCCCCUUCGCUCGAGCUCCGGCUUCCUCCAGCCUCCCCCAACCGCGCCACCAGCAGGAGGAGGGCAGUCAGCUCGAGGGCAGUCAACAGGCUCCAAGCGCUCCGACCUCCAAGAUCCGCGCACCUCCGGCCUCCCCUUCGCUCGAGCUCCGGCUGCCUCCAGCCUCCCCCAACCGCGCCACCAACGCGGGUCCAUGCCUCCCCGCUCCGGCGUCCCCGACGUGCCUCCCCGCCGACGUCCUCGCGGGCCCUCACAGCCGCCAGGCUCCUCGGCUCUCUGCCGCGCUCGCCAACGCCUCCUCCAACUCCAACGAGCCAGUGCCCUCGAAGUGGACGGCAACACCCCCAAUCCGGCGCAUCCACGAUGAUCCGCUCCGAUCCGUGGCCCCCGCUGUCAGCCCCGAAUUCGGCGUCGCCCCUGGACCGGCAUGCCACGGAACUCGCCCCAUCGUCGGCCUCCCGCUACCGUGUCAAAUCUCUGAUUAGUCCCUCUUGCUCACGAUGUGUUCGGUGAAUUAGCUAUUAGGCAAUCCGGCACUCAGGUUCAGCAGGAGGAGGGCAGUCAGCUCGAGGCGUGGAGCCGUGGACAGCCGGGAGGAGGAGCUUGGGUGGUGGGCUAUUAGCAGGGAGAAUUGAGGGGAUGGAGGUUGCAUUGUGGGGAAGUAGACGGGCUGCCACCGCUCGGUGCAUGGAGGCAAUGACGGGCGCAGCCGGCUUUGUAUGGCGAGUAUCUUGCUACAUCAAAGCUCUAUGGCGAGGUAUGUGGCCAUCGCCCCUGCCUCCACCAAGCCGUCACCAUUGCCCCCUGUACCAUGAACCUGGUACGUGGCUGUCAGCUCCGCUGGGGCGAAUGCCCGUGCAUUCAACUAAAGCCUGAACUGCUCGUCCGUUAAAACCGCUCGCAGAGAGGGCGAGCGGAUUCGAGGUACCAACCUGCAGCAAGCACUAGGAAAGUAACAACUAUUCUGACAUUUGCCAUCGAGCUCUGCUGGUCGUGCAGUUCUUUUUUUCAAAGGGACAUGCUCUUUUGCAUAAGAAAUAUGGAAUAUUGGAGAAGAAGAAAUAAGUUAGCAGGAGAGUGACAGAUUGCUGCAACUACGGAGCUCAUGAGGUGACCAUCAAUCAGCAUUUGUAUUUUCCUUUGACCUACUAAUUUAGUAUCAGGUAAACACAUACCUUUGAUAUAACACAUCUUACUUACAUGCGCCUGGAGCCCUGGACACAUGUUUUUUUUUUCAUUUGCAAAGAAAUUAUGGAAAUGUGUGCUCUUUUCCCUUCUCCCUUCCAUUCUCUGCAUGUACACUUAUGCUCUCUUUCUUUUUAUUUUGUUUCUCAACAGAUACUGAAAAUUCUCAUAUUAGGUUGAGAUCUAAACUAGGCUCAAGGUUAGCAUUUUAAGUUUCUUAAUAUGCAACUUCUAGCAUGUAACCUCUAUUAAAUUGGAGGGCAUAUUGGGGCUGCUUUUUUUUUUUCUAGCUGUGAUCCCUGCUGCCCGACUGAAUGGUUUAUUACAUAUCCCUCCUUUUUUUUCUAGCUAUGAACUACAUAUCCCUGCUUUUGUUUCCCUGACUUGGAAAGGGCUUGUAAGGACCACUUUAGGAGGACUUGUUGGGGCAUAGGGUUGGAUUUCGGUUUCAGGGUGGUGACCUUGGACCCUAAUUUCACAAAGCUUAACAUAGAUUCAAUUGUUUAUGCUUAUGAAAUUUCGGAGAGAAGGGCUAUUUUGCUUGACUAUGAUGGAACUUUGGUUCCUUAGACUUACAUCAAUAAGCCAUCUAGCCCAGAAGUUGUGAGUAUUAUCAAUACUCUUUGCUCAGAUAGGAGAAAUAUUGUUUUUCUUGUCAGUGGGGUGAGACAAGGAUACAUUGGGAGAAUGGUUUGCCUCAUGUCCAAAGUUGGGAAUUGCAGCUGAACUUGGUUACUUCUUAAGGUAUGUUCUUUUCCAUUUUUCACAAUUGAUACUUGUUUGUGAAGUACUGGAAGCUGGAUACUAUACUUUUUCUAUAAAUGGCAAGAGCAUUGCUGCUGUGUGGAGGGGUGUCUCAGCGCUACUUUUCUCUAAAUGUUUUUGUCUCUCUUUUGCUGUAUGUGAUUUUGACGGCAUUUUAUUUCCUUGAGCACUCGUCAAGGUUCUUGUGGUGCAUGAGAAGUAUUCUGCUUCAACGCCGCUUGGUGCUUGGAAACUCCCAACGGGAUUCAUCCAUGUGUUAAGGAGUCAGACAAUUAGACGGGUGCAUGGUAUGAUAUUAGUUCUAAUUGCGAUGUCCGUUAUUGAAGAAUGUUUGGUUGCUUUGUGGCAGUCAGAGGAGAUUUUACAGGAGCUGUCAAAGAGGUCAAGGAGGAGACUGGAGUAAGAAAUGGAUUGUCCUGUUAAUGUUAGACUAAAAGAUUGUUCUGAUAUUUGUUCUUCAGUUAACCGGCUUGCAUUUUUUAUGGGAUUAAUCAUGAAUAUGGUUCCCUCAAUGCAUUUGCAGAUUGACACUGAGUUUAUGGAACUGAUUGCUUUCAGGUAAUGGUUCUACUCAUGCUCUCUGUAUGAGUCAGCUUAGAUGUGUCAAAUAAUAGGAUUUGGUUAUGCACUUGCGCUGCUCAGGUGGGAUGUGCACCUGCUCAUUAUCUGUAUGCAUGAUGUAGUCUGCUACAUCACUUUUUACAUCAAUGGUUCUGUUAGAGAAUCUGAAAAUUUUAUAUCAAUGAUUCUGUUAGAGAACAUGAUAACUGAAUGGCAUUUAUAGAUGAGCUGUUAUUAGCAUCUGUUUUUUAGCACAUAAACAGCUACACCAAGCCUAUCUGAAAAAAAGAGCUGUUAAAACUACCAAAUUUUUUUGUUAUAGGAACAUGUUUCUAGCAGAAUGAUGCUUACAGUACAGCUUCUAUAUUUUUUUUUACUAAUUCAGUGCAAUGCACUUUGCUCCCCUGCUAGAUUGUGACCUUUUUAGACAUGCAUGUCUUCCAGUAAGCAAACUAAUAUAAAGUGAUAACUGAAUAUUGGAUUGGUAGUAUGCCUAAAUUGAUUUUUGUUUGCCCUCAAAUCUAAUUCCGUGAGAAUGUUCAGCUGGCCCCGAAUGUAAAUAUUCGGCUAUUUUCCUGAAAAAUAAAACUAAAUUAAUCAUAAGCCAUCUGAUGUUGCCUCCAGCCUCAGCAUGAGUCGUAAAACUAAUUAAUCAUAAGCCAUUUGUGAAUAUGUUAUGGUAUUUUGGUGGCUUGCUUAAACAUAAGAGGUAAUACGACAAUUGAUGGAGAGAUAUAGGGAGCAGAAGAAGGACUUGUACAUGGUCUUCAUUGACCUUGAGAAGGCAUAUGACAAAGUACCGAGAAAUGUCAUGUGGUGGGCCUUGGAGAAGCACAAAGUCCCAACUAAGUACAUUACCCUCAUUAAGGAUAUGUACAAGGAUGCGACGACGUUUGUCCGGACAUGUGAUGGCAACACCACUGACUUUCCUAUUAACAUAGGCCUACACCAGGGGUCAGCAUUGAGCCCUUAUUUAUUUGCUUUAGUGAUGGAUGAGGUCACAAGGGAUAUACAAGGUGAGAUCCCUUGGUGUAUGCUCUUUGCUGAUGAUGUGGUGCUAGUUGACGAGAGUAGGGCAGGGGUUAAUAGGAAGUUAGAGCUGUGGAGACGCACGUUAGAGUCGAAAGGGUUCAGACUUAGUAGGACCAAGACCGAGUACAUGAUGUGCGAUUUCAGCGCGACUAGGCAUGAGGGGGGAGACGUUAGUCUAGAUGGGCAAGUGGUGGUCCAGAAGGAUACUUUUCGGUAUUUAGGAUCGGUGCUACAAAAGGAUGGCGACAUUGAUGAAGAUGUUAGGCAUAGAAUUUCAGCUGGCUGGUUGAAAUGGCGGCAAGCUUCUGGCAUCCUUUGUGACAAGAGGGUGCCACAAAAGCUAAAAGGCAAAUUCUAUAGGACAACAAUUCGUCCGGCGAUGUUAUACGGUGCUGAAUGUUGGCCUACAAAAAGGCGACAUGUCCAGCAACUGAGUGUAGCAGAGAUGCGGAUGUUGCGGUGGUUUUGCGGGCACACAAGGAGGGAUAGAGUCCGGAAUGAAGUUAUUCGGGAUGCCGGUACGUAAUGGGGUUCUUGAGCGGGUCGAUAAUGUAAAGAGGGGUAGAGGUAGACCUAAACUGACGUGGGAUGAGUCGGUUAAGAGAGACCUUAAGGAUUGGAAUAUCUCUAAAGAGAUAGCUUUGGAUAGGAGCGCUUGGAGACUAGCUAUCAAUUUGCCUGAACCUUGAGCUUAUUUCUUUCGGGUUUCAUCUCUAGCCUAUCCCAACUUGCUUGGGAAAAAAUGCUAUGUUGUUGUUGUUGUUGUUGCUGCUGCUUAAACAUAAGAGGAAUAGUGAGUUUGAUUGCUUAUAACUUGGUGUCAUGAGUCGUGCCUGCACAGAGUUGGGUAAUAAUUUAAUAUGAUGCCAAUCUUUAAAAAAAAUUUAAUAUGAUGCAGCUUCUUUUAUUUCUUCCAAUAAUAGAAAUGCAUGACUUCAUGUGUACAUACACAAGGUGCCGAGUAGAUUAGCUGACCUAAGACUUGGUACUAUGCACAGAACUGGCUAACUUUGAUUGCCUAAUGAUUGAUAUGAUAAUCUUUGUUUGGAUAAAUAUAAUUUGCUAAUUUAUUUGGCAACAAUUUGUUUUGGAUCACAUAACAUGGAAAGCGUUAGAUGCUUUCAUGCGGGGAUCCUACAACCAAUAAUAUAAUGUUGAGGGUUUUGCUAGAUCUCACCAUGUGCUGAAGAAUAGUAGUUAAAGAGAUUCUGACCUUUCUUAUUUACAAAGAAUGGUGCUCCUUUUGCAGUACUUUGGAGACGAGAAGAACUCAGCUAAGAGAGUGGGAGAUUGCUUCAGAAUCAUUAGAGCACUUAUUUUUCUUUACAUCGAUUUCAUUUGGGCUUCAAGUCUUAUUUGCAUCUUGGUUUCUACUUAGUACUAAGGAUGUGUUUAUUUAUUCAUUUUUGUUUCUUUAGCUCCUAUGUUUCUGACUCUUUAGCCUGUUUCUGCUGUGCUAUCUAUACUCUGAUGUCUAUCUGACUAGCUUGACAUUAAGAAAUACCAAUGGAACAGGUAACAUGAUGGAACUUUAGUGGAGUGGAAGUUUAAUUAAUUUAAGCUAUUUGGGCUAUUUGCAGCACUGUAGGGCUAGGCUCUUUGCUUUACCUGGUCUGACACUUCAAAUCGAGAGGCACUAUCAAUCAGCAUUAUUCCUACACAGCUUUAAUACUUUAAUGGUAUUUCGGUGGGUUUUUGGGUGAUUCUAUUUGCUCGGCUAUGGGUUCGCAGGGUUUGGAGGCGCAGGGCGAUCCGGCGGUGAUGGGGCCUGCUCAAGCUGCCCGCCAACAAGUGCUGCAUCAACGGCAACAACUUGGUGAGUCCCCUCGCCCGAAUUCUCGAGCGUGGAUGGGUUUUGGGAGAUGGGAAGCUAGAAGGUGGGUUUGCUUGUUUGAGCUCGCUCGGCUUGCCUUGGAUGCACCCACCGUAAUGCCUCGUUGCUUGCUUUUAGCUGGAACCGUGUAAGUUUAAGUUCAGCGAGUUUGGAAGUGGCUUGAGAUUGAGAAGGCAACGGGUCUGGCCGAGCUUGGCGGUGGCGCACCUCAUGAUCGUGAAGGACAUAAUGGGAUUCAUGAAGGACGAUCUCAGUAGUAGCCUUUUUUUUAUUUGGUAUGCUACUAACAUAAUGAGAUUUGUGAAGGAGCAUUAGCAUGUUCGAAUUUUGCUUGCAGUCAUUUACAAAAGAAAUUGAAUUCUGGAAUUAUCAUGUGCAGUUUUAAACUUGAAAUAAUUAACACUGUAACUUUAAUAAUGGUAUUCUUUGAAUACCUAUAUGCUGGUACUAUAUUUUCAGAUACAGGUUGCAAAUAGACUUGGCAUCAAUUACGCUCCUGCCAUGGUUGGAUUUGAUUGAAGUGGCCGAUGCCUUACAGUUUUUUUUUUUUAAAUUGAUGUCAAUACUGAUCUAUCCUAGAGGUAUGUCGUGGCAUGACAAUUAUUUUUUUUGAAAGUUUGAAUCAUUUCAGAAGUGUAUGUAAUUUGUUCACCUCAUAGUGGCUCUGCUCUUUAAAAUACUGACCAACAUUAUUACUGCUUUUGCUCUUCAGAUACUUUAAAUCUAACAGAACUAAGGUCCCCAUGUUAGGGCAACAAUGUGCCACCUAGCUGAUUUGCGGGCUAUAAAAAACAAAUGUGAGAGUGAACUCAUCAGAUUACUAUAGCAUUUGAUUAAAAAAAUCGCUCCAAUCCCCUAUAGUGCCGAUUGCCAAGUGGGGGUAUUUGACGUGUAUGCUUGCCUGUGUUUUUGAAAAUUCUGAACAAGAUGGAUAUCAUAACACUAGCUGCCCAUAAUUGCAAUUAUUUAUUUACUCAUACAUUAUUAAUUCAUUUCAGAGGGAUGUUGCAGGGAAAACAUAAGCACAUUAUGGAAAAAGAAAAGGACUAUCGUACAAGGACAAAGUGGCUUAUCUCAAUAGUUGUGCCCAGUGUUAUGUUUUUGUUAUUGAAAACAAGUUUCCUAUAUGUGAUGAUAAAUUAUUGUCUACUAAACAAAACUAUUUUUUAAUACUUUUUAAAAAUACAUUAUUGAUUGCGAUUCUUUUUCUGGUUCAUUUGCAGCUCUCUGAGUGGAUAAAAACAAGCUCCUCAGAAUUGGAAAAUGUGAUCAAGACCAUGACAACUUGGUACCAUACAGAUCGAUGAUGAACUAUAACAUGCUGCGCCCAUGGUGUUCGGCGAAGCAAAACAGAUGGCAGGCUGGGCAAUGUCAAUGGCACGAAGCUCAAAUGGCCCCUGACACUCAAUUUAGUCACACAUGAAGCUGCCAUAUCAGUUUUUUUUGUGUGUGUUGAGCUAGCAUUCCGGUACUUCAAAAAAGGACCUGUAAUUCGUUCCACAUGAUGCUAUUCUUCAUCUAGAUUGCUCUAUAUAGAGAACAAUGGAACUAGAUGCUUAUUCUGUGAAGAUCUUUAUUGUUAUUGCAUGUCUGUUAAUACGUGCGUGCUGCACGUGCACUC